AUCAGCAGGAUUUUGCACCGAGACGAAAGCUCGACUUUGUACUCUCCUGAGCGAUGCAUCCUGGAAAUGCAUAAUUUCACAAAGCAGAUGCCUAUCGGUUGCUUUCAGUUUACCCUUUCUUUUUUACGGACUGAUAUAUCUCUAUAAUUAGAGGUGAAAAUACGAAUCUAUCCUUUGGUUGGAUCUCACGGGCGUGAGAGGAAGUUCAUUAGCGAAUCCAUUAACAUAAUUCAUUCGCACCUUUUAACGCACGCAAGAAGCCCGUCGUGUUUUUCAUCCCUCGUAUAGCGGAGCGUCAUCGGAAAAACGCCUCCUUCGUCACACCUCGCGCGCAGGCAGCUCUCGUUAUCGGCCUGCGCGAUAUCGAACUCUUUCGUCUCGAAAAAAAAAUAGAAACACCAUCGCACGAGCACACACACGUACGUCGUCCUCGUGUCGGUUCCAUGAAUGAAACGCGCGCCGGAUACGCCGGUUCACACGGACGGACGUACGCACGCACACGACUCCGCCUUUAUCAGCCGUAACGAACUCGCACUUCGACCGAUGUGACGACGCGGCGUGUUUCCGCCGAUAACACCGACGCGCUUAUCGCCGACCACGUCGCGUCCUCGACGCCAGCUGGCUUAGUUUUACAAUUCUCUGGACGCGCCGAUCGUUCCUCCCUUAUUCCGCCCGAACACGAAGGGCGCAAAUUGGAUUGCUCUCCCGAUGUGUACGCGCGCGCGCCACAUGCACGGAUAGACAACACCCGCGAAAUCGGAAUGAUCCUAGCAAAUAUCCCGUAAAAAAAUACAAGACCUCGAUUUUUAAUUCCGAAGCCAGAGAGAGAACAAAACAGACGGGGAGAUAAAGCACGCAUCUUCGAAUUUUUAAAUUAACAAUUUAAAAAUUAACAAUUUAAAAAUUAAAAAUUAUCUUUUGAAGAAGAACAGAUGGAACUAUAAAAAAUCAUGUUUUCCUCAGUUCUGUUCUGUUCUCUUCGUGCGGUAAAUUUUAAUCGUACUUCACACCGUUCCAUCUUGUUUUUUGCAGAGUAACAAGCCGUGUGCGAGAGCCUUCGCCGAGGAAGGAGCGCGUUUGUCACGGCAGAAGGAUUACAAGGGUUGCGUCGCCGUCUUGUCGCCGUUGUCGUUAUCCGGCUACGACGGAUCUCGUAUUACACAACGGGCGGGAUGCUCGGGAACGGCUUCCUCCGCGCUGCCGAGGAAGGAAGAUCUAUUAAAAGCGGCCGUGUGUGGCGACUAUACACGCGGCUGCAGGCGCGCUAUAUUUUUGGCGGGCAACCCAUUGACUGACGAGCACGCGCUUUAGUCACAAGACUUGGUACGUUGCCCGUGGGCGCAUAUUCGCGUAAUAACGUCCCUCCGUCCUCUUCCGCGGUUCCACGUGAAAAAUCGACAUCAGCCCUGCCCACGCUUUUUCCUUCGCACGCGAAGUUUUCGAAGUCAAGGUUGCGUCAAGAAAAUCGUACUUUCGACGUGGGUGGACUUUCGACUUCGUCGCUCGAUUCGUCAACGCCGCCCUUCCUUCCUUUCCAUCCUUUUGAUGCAGCUGACAUUUUCAACGCGACCUUUACAGAAUGAAUUAACGUAUUAACGUUGAGAAUGAGCGAGGGAAUGGAAUCUCUUCAAUCGCAAGCGAUACUUGUUCCCUUCGUUAGGACUCGCGCAGCGGCUCUCCGCGGUGGCGAGACAACCGGUAUCUCUCCUCAGAUUUGCAUUCCCGGAAGACUAUCUAGCCGCGAUGAUUGGCAUGAACGUGCGCGUAACGUGCGAAACGAGUUUGCACCUUUCGCGCACCUUCGCGGUCGCCGAUUCCAGGUAGAACCGCACGGCCGGGGGCCGUGUAAAUCGCGGCGCGGAUACGUGGAAGUUCACGCGCGCGAGAGCGGCUUCCUUCUCUCUUUCCUGUAUCUCGUCUCUCUCAGUCUUUCUCUCUCUUUUUGUCUCUUUCUCCCUCUCUCCCACGCUCGAGCGCAGGACGCUAUCGAUUCCGCUCCCGUUUCCGGGAAGCGUUUGCACAGCCUCGAUCAAUAUUUACAACGAGACUCGGAGUUCCGAUUGCACGCCCCUUCCGAUUUGGCCAGGGUCUCUCGCGGGCGCGCUCGUGAUUCUUGGCCGACUUCCGGCGAUAUUCACAAAGCGCGGACAUUGAGCGAGCAUCCGGAUGCGCAAAGUCGCGUUUAUGGCCCCAAUGUGCUUUAUGGGGUUGCUAAUGCGCGACCGUCUGUUACCGAGACAGUGCGCGUCGGGCGACCUCGAGAGUACUCGAUGUUCCGAGCACGCUUCCAUGCGACACUCGUGUCUAAAAUAUAUAUCACGUGACUUUUGUGUAAUAAUAUGUAUAUAUCUAUAUCUACUAGAUAAUAAGCGCAUGUGCGUGGCUUUUCUGAAUAAUUCCUUUAUCAUGUCGAGACUUGGUUCCUAUAUAUAUCUACGUUAUUUAGCUCGAUAUACUGUUACUUUCCGUGUUUGGAGACUGAUGAAGCGCGAUAAACGAUGCCUCCUCCGUCUCGUCUCUUUCCGGCGCCUCGCCUUCGCGCUUUAUCCGACGUUUGUUGCACUCGCUGCCGCGAAACGUCAAUAUUGGCGGGAAGUAUCUGUUUUUAUCGGAUACGCGCGCGUCGAUUUCGCUCGUCGCCGAUAAGACACCGCGGCUCUCGGAAGUUUCCUCCGGACUUGCCUCGCUUCAUGAGAAGAGAAAAAGGAAAAGAAAAAAAAAUACGAUACGAUGUAUGGCCUCGCCACGUAUAUUAAUUACCGGCACGUGGUGCAUUUGCGCGCGCGUGCGGGCCGACGUAAUGGAGAACGGUAAUAAUAGCGGCGCGGCGCCGAUGAUUAGACUCUGUGCAUUCGCGUACUGCACAGGCAAGGUAACGAAAAAAAGGGCAAGGCCGGGCGGCGCUGGCUCGUGCGGCGAGUCUUCGUGUUAUGUCAUCGCAAUUAGGGGAUUGUUGGGGAAAUCGGCACGCUUCCUUCCUCCGCGAUGUGCGGGCGCACGCUCCGCCUCGCGGACUGCACAUCGUAACGCCGCGUUAUCCGUUAACAGCCUCGACAUAAAUCAACCAGUCGCGACGAGGCCUGCUCGUUAUUGAACACGGUCAUUAAAAUGCCACCGUGCUAACUCCUUUAUUUAAAUGUCACCACCGCAUGAAAUCUAAUUAAUUACGUGCGCCUCGCGUAUAUGUGAACAAUAAGGAGCGCCAAUAAUCGAUCGACAUAUCAGAGAUUGAUAAAGAGAGAGAGAGAGAGAGAGAGAGAAAGGAAAGAGAGAGAAGCGAGGCGUCCUUUUACGAACGUGGCUUUUACUUUCUCUUGAAAGCGCGCACACACAGCGCGCUCGUAUAACAACAUUCCGCGUGCCUCGCCGAGCAUCGAUCGCGGAUCUGAUUCCCGAUGCGUCCGUUUUAUCGAACGUGAAACGCACAUUCACCUUGCGAUAGCUGCGGAGGCUCGAGUAGUCCAAACCUUUCAUCCGUCGGUGUCAAAGUCGUAUUAAUAACGAUAGUAUUUCGCCCCAAAAGGUCUCGGUGGGGUCAAUAAAUGCCCAAUGAUCCGGAGCGGAGCUCAUUAUAAAUCGCGGCGGGUUUUGAUGGCAUUAAUAAUUCACGAGUGACCUGACACGCAUGGUAUAUGUCGGCGAUAAAUAAAAUCAAAUUCCAUCCGGAUUCCAUCUGCUCCUCGGCGGGAACUUCGAGCGGCAGAGGCGGCGUGGAGCGACGUAAAAGCGCGUGUAAGAGCGCGCCUUAUCGCUUACGCGCACGCUUGCAACAAAAAAAAGAAGAGAAGCGCGAUUCUCCCGCGAGACUCUCCCCGGUCGCCAGGACGCGGCGGGACGCGGGGGAAGAAUUGAUCGUUACAGUUCCAUAAAAUCUGGUACACACCGCUCGUUAGCUAGUUGAUGACCUAGACGGUGGCCUCGCGAGCACGGAAUGUGAAUCAGCCGCGCGCGGUGCUCCCACGGGCGUUGUUUACAAUGCACUGCGUGUGCGUGCGUGCGUGCGUACACGCACUCAUUAAUGCGGCGCGGCCAGGUAGUACGACGCGCGCGAGAGUAUCGUGUCUGCCGGUGGAUGUAGUGGAGAGGUAAAUAUAGAAAGCUUGUUUAUACGCCGGCGGAAUGACGGUUGACACAAUAGCGGAUGAUAAAAAGAGAUAUUAAUAUACGUACGUAGCAGCGCGAGCGAGCUGCGUGCGCGCUGCGAUCGUUCCGCGCGGGCGAAAUACGCGAGGAUGAGAUCACGAGGACGUGAUUCGCGUGUCGGAGACGAAUCAUCGACGGGUGAAUGCGUCAUACGUCCGAAUGCGUCGUGCAGGAACAAACGCAGUAAACACUUUCGUAAAGAGUAAUAUAUCUCUUGUAUAAUUCCUACAUGCUUUAUAUCGCUUCCGGUAGCUCUUUGUGCAAGGUAAUGAACUUUUUUUUCAAAGUACAGCUUUUACGGCGCUCGACGUAUCGCAGCUGCGUAAAAGAAAAGGGCCGUAAAGCUAAAGCAGAGAUCGUAAAAGGCUUAAGUCCUCCCGCAAUCGCGCGCUGCAACGGUAGGAUAAAGCAGACGGAGCGCGGCGUUAUGAAUUUCAAAUAAACCGACGUAUGCAAAUACGACAUUUAUAGGUGCGCGUGAGUGAUCUUUGAAUAUUACCGAUAGACAUUAAUCAGAUGCAAACGAGAUGAAGCAUUCCGUUGUUAUUUAUGCUGCCGCCGCCGCGCCCCUCGGUGUGUUUCACCGCGAUAUCUCACGUUUUUCCAAGCGGAAAAGAUUAUGUCCCGACGGGUCUCGCGCGGUUUACGAUUGACCCAGGUCAAGGCGAGGACGUCUAUUGUCGCGGCCUCCGCUGCGACACGCACAGGAAAUGUCUGACCAGUGUCGGACGACGGUGUUUGCAAAUAUGGCAGGACCGCCAGGAGAUCGUGAGAAGUGCUUGAUGUCCGCGAGGUCGCGAGAAAAUAUACUCGCGGGGUGCCCUCGGUGCGGAUUCUCCCUAGCACCGCGACUUCCGGCAAUCCUUUUUUUUCUUUUAGCUUCCCGUGAACUCGGCGAUGUGCGCGCGCGACGUUUUCUCACGGCGAGGAUUUCCUUGAAAUACGUUUCGAUACGGGAAUACAGAUUCGACGAAUUCAAAUCGUGGAUUCGAUACGGCGUAGACAGAAAGAGAGAGAGAGAGAGAGAGAGAUAUUGAGGAACGAGAUUGUGCAUCCUUUCACACGCUCUCUGCCGUAUCGCGCGCAUUUUUGCGAUUAUCGCGUUAGCGUUAUUCCGUUUUUCUCGCAAUUCGUCGUAGAUAAACGACAGGCACGAUCCGUUUUACCGAGGAACGACUCUUUCGACGCAGUUUACUUUGGCACGACCGAGUCUUCCCGCGUAAUGCGCAAUCGAACUCGUCCGCGAAUCGGUUUCGAGUCGUGGUCAUAUAGAGGCGCGACACGAUUCCACCCACAGAUUCCGAGGAUGUUAUUACCAGCGCUUGGGCGUCUAUACGCAGUUACGUGGAAUGUCCGGAUCACCACGUCAUCGUACAUCACCCAAGCGGAGAGGGGGGUGUCGUGGCGCCAGAGAGCAGAUGCACCAGCCAGAGGCAGAUAGUGCUAGUGCCAGGACGUGCUAGGCAGAGUUAAGCGCCGUCGAGCCGAGCAGAGUCCGCGAGGCGAGCUAAUGAAUUGAGUACUUGAGUGGCGUCCUAAUGAUGAAAUCACGAGAAACAUAACAACAUCCUCCGUGGGGGUCCUCCUCUCGGACCAUAAGUGACAAUGAUUUGCCUCGUGACUCGCUUCUUCGCGCUGGCGUACCCCGUCCGACUGGCACGUGAUCGUAAAUCAUCCCAUCGAAUAAAUUGUGACGAGCGAACGCCGGAAUUUUCUGGGGAACACUGGAUUACCAAUGGACGACGAUUCCGAUUGAACGACGAAUCUGGCACGCGAUCUUAUUACGGACGACGUGUUUCGUCCGCGCGCUCGAUCUGCGAGCGGAAAGAUUGGCGAAAUUCUGAUCCACGAUCGCGAUACGUACUAUACGCUCUAUCCUGUGUAUGAACUAGUUUUUGUCCGUAAUAACUAUAGACAAUGUGUAAUAUCAUGCUUUUAACGAGCGUGAUUUCUCCUCCUUUCACCCGAUCCUUUUUGAAAGGCUUUUUUCAGGGAGGCCAAGCUCCACUUGUAAUUAUUCCCUUUUGCGCUAAGGCGCCGUCGGUACUGGGCAUAUAAAUCAUCCUCCAGUAUGGAAAGGAGCCACUCGAUAGUCGAAUAAAUUUGCACUUAAUAGAGCCGGAGCGAUCGCCGAGCCGAUUCAUCUUGCGUCACGAUCUCGGGCUGAUUGUUUGCGAGCAUCCUUGCGUUCGAAAGUUCAUCGAUCGCGAUAUUCACGAGCCGCCGCGCGAUACAAUGCGCCGCUGCAUCGUCGGGGAAGCGCUCGCGUUUCAGUUGAAAUUAGCGAGGCGUGCUGUGCUGUGGGACGUCUUUCUGAUCUUUGAUACUCUGGCUCCAUAAUAACGUUCGUUCUCUCGUUCGGCGAUGUAGGCUUGCGGUGCGCUCUCGCAUGAACGCACCGGUCGCGCGAAAGUUACGGCGACUACGGAGGAAAUCGACAUUUCGAUAUCGAUACGCGCGACGGCGCGGUGCUUAUGGGGAACGGUAUGGUCUCGCCUGCACACGUUCCAGAGACGUAGAGCAUGAACCGGGCCCAAAUCCUCCUCGGCUAGCCUCUCGUUAAACCGAGAAGCUGGAUCCCGUUAUUUCAAUUAAGCGUGCACAAUAAUUUACCGUGCCGCUAUGCGCGGUAGCUUUUGCAUAUGAAUAGACGAGUUUGUUCGUUCGAUAAAUACAUUAAUUAUACACGCUCAAAUGAAACGUGUCGGGUGUUAAUUACAACGGCCAUAACAACGUCAGUUCUUUUGUGAAAACCGUCGAUGUAAUAAUAUAUCAGAGACGUGUCGAUGAAUCGGGAAAUAAACAAGAAUCAAUCGGC